AGUUGGGCAGACGAGCAAUGCAUUAUGGGCAGCAUAUCGCAAGAAGAGGAUCACAGCGAGCAACUUUGGUUUGGUUUUGUCUGCAGUCAGAAGACAGUCUUUCCCACCUUCAUUGUUCAAGACACUGCUGGGAGAAUACAACCCCAAACAAGGAGCUCGUGCAUGUGAUUGGGGAAUCGUGCACGAGAAAGAGGCCAAAAAGAAGUUCAUGGAACAAAGUGGGGAGACCAUCCUGGAGAAGGGACUGUUCCUGUCUGACAGUGGGCUGCUUGGGGCCUCCCCAGAUGGACUUCUACUGUCCAGCAAUUACCUUGUGGAGGUGAAAUGCCCAUAUUCUGCCAGAGAGAAAACAAUCGCUCAGGCAGCAGAGGCAAAGGACUUUUACCUGUACGUGGACCAAGUCACCGGGCUAUU